GAGUUUGAUCAUGGCUCAGGACGAACGCUGGCGGCGUGCCUAACCCAUGCAAGUCGAACGGGGCGGCGGACUUCGGUCCAAAGCCUAGUGGCGGACGGGUGAGUAAUGCGUGAACAACCAACCUUGUACAGGGGGACAACAGCUGGAAACGGCUGCUAAUACCGCAUAAGACCACAGGACCGCAUGGUCCAGGGGUCAAAGGAGCAAUCCGGUAUAAGACGGGUUCGCGUUCCAUUAGCUAGUUGGUGGGGUAAUGGCCUACCAAGGCUGCGAUGGAUAGCCGAGCUGAGAGGCUGAUCGGCCACACUGGGACUGAGAUACGGCCCAGACUCCUACGGGAGCAGCAGGGGGGAAUAUUGGGCAAUGGGGGAAACCCUGACCCAGCAACGCCGCGUGAAGGAAGAAGGCCUUC
rnacentral:rRNA from 1 species